rnacentral:rRNA from 1 species
GACGAACGCUGGCGGCGUGCUUAACACAUGCAAGUCGAGCGGAAAGGCCCUUCGGGGUACUCGAGCGGCGAACGGGUGAGUAACACGUGAGUAACCUGCCCCAGACUUUGGGAUAACCCUCGGAAACGGGGGCUAAUACCGGAUACGACACUUCAUCGCAUGGUGUGAGUGUGGAAAGUUUUUCGGUUUGGGAUGGGCUCGCGGCCUAUCAGCUUGUUGGUGGGGUGAUGGCCUACCAAGGCGACGACGGGAGCCGGCCUGAGAGGGCGACCGGCCACACUGGGACUGAGACACGGCCCAGACUCCUACGGGAGGCAGCAGGUGGGAAUAUUGCACAAUGGGCGGAAGCCUGAUGCAGCGACGCCGCGUGAGGGAUGACGGCC